rnacentral:rRNA from 1 species
AUGAACGCUGGCGGCGUGUCUAAGGCAUGCAAGUCGAAUGUGAACUUCACCUUCGGGUGGAGCCGAACAUGGCAAACGGGAGAGUAACACAUUGGUAACAUACCCUGAGGACGCGUAUAACUUGGAGAAAUCCAAGAUAAUUCGCGAUGGAAAAGGGGGGACACAAGUCAUUCCCUUUUAAAGUAACAACGCCUCAGGAGUGGCCUAUGGCCUAUCAGCUAGUUGGUAAGGUAACGGCUUACCAAGGCUACGACAGGUAGCGGGUGUGAGAGCAUGACCCGUCUCACUGGGACUGAGACACUGCCCAGACUCCUACGGGAGGCUGCAGUCAAGAAUCUUCCACAAUGGCCGAAAGGCUGAUGGAGCGACGCCGCGUGUAUGAAGACGCCCCUCGGGGUGUAAAGUACUUUUCUUUGGGAAGAAACAAUGACGGUACCAGAGGAAUAAGGGGCUGCUAACUUCGU